CCGACCGAUCCCUCGCCCUGCCCACCCGGUCCGGAUCCAGCCCCAACCCACCACCACCAGCUCCACUUCCCCUCCGGUUUCCGCCGCCCGCCGAAGCCGUCUCCGGCAAGGACCCGGCCGACGACGCCGCCCCUUCCCCGGCGGCCUGUCCGCGGCCACGCGCGCCUGUCCUCCCUCCCCGCGCCCUGGCCGUGGCCCGCCGGUCUGCUCCUCCUCUCUUCUCCCGGGGCCCCGGGCCCUGCCUCCCGCCUCGCCUCGCCUCCUCGCGCCUGGUUUGGAUUCGCUCGUCCUCCAUUCGCCGUCCGUUUAGGCUUCGAACCGCGCCUGAUUUGGUUCUUGCUCGUGCUCAAUUCGUCAGUUUGGAGUCGCGCCUGCUUUGAUUUUGCUCGUCCUCGCCGUCGCCCGUCUGCGGUCGCCGUCGGGUUCGAUUUUGCUCAUCCUCGCCGUCGUCGUCCGUGUAGAGUCACGCCCAGUUCGAUUUUGCUCGUCCUCGCCGUCGUCCGUUUAGAGUCGCCUCCGAUUCAAUUUUGCUCGUCGCCGUCGUCCGUUUAGAGCCGCGUCCGGUUCGAUUUCGCUCGUCCUCGCCGUCGUCCGCUUAGAGUCGCGUCCGAAUCAUUCUUGCUCGUCCUCGCCGUCGUCCGUGUAGAGUCGCGCCUGGUUCGAUUUCGCUCGUCCUCGCCGUUGUCCCGAUGCCCUCCCGUGUUCUUGGCCCGUCUCGUUCGCCUCGUCGGGGUUCUCCGUCUCGUUUGCGAACUAGCAAUUCUUUCUGCGUGCGCUUCUGUUGUCCGAGGGAGAGAUCCUGGGUUUCGUGUACGCGCCGGUUGCAGGAACGAACAGGUCUGGUUUGAAAUUGGAUUACGGCGGGAGAUGGGGAGCAACGUUCGUUUAUCGUGCUAGUUCAGACCUGUUGCUCUUGGUGAUUUUCAGAACUCAAACGCAUGCUCUCUUGUGCUACUCUGUCAAUUCUUGCCCCUCUGUCAGUUCUUGUUUGGCCCUCUGUCAAUUCUUGAGUUCCAGGGUCGGUUAACUCUUGAGUUCUUGUUGUACCGGCUAGGCGUGUGUGUUCUGAUGGUGUGUAUUGUUUAUGUUCUUGUUGUACCUGCAAUUUGUUUCUUUUUAUCAUGCUUUGCCAGCUGCUUAACUAAUUGAACACCUGCUACUGCUACUGCUGGACAAGGUUCCUUCUUUUCUUCCUGAUGUUGCUAUUUCCAUUGAAGUACUCAUAGGAGUUCUGGAUGAGCUGCUGCUAGUUAGUUCCCCUUAGACUACAUCCUAGAUUGCAUAGUAUAACUCGAGAAUUUUUGUCAUUGCACACCUGGGCAUAUAAUUCUGUUUUGAGCAUAAUGCCAGAAUUUAUUUAUCCAUGAAAGCACGCUCAUCACAUGUUUUUUUAUCAAUGCCGCUAACUACUGUCACGUCCCUUCACUUUGGACAACAAUUUCAAUGAAACUCUAAUGUGGACAUGUGCUGCUUGUUUUCUUGUGAUGAUGGUGAUCCAGUUGACUAGCUCAACUCUUAUGCUGUGACAUUUGUUAAUCCCCAGUUAGUGUGCCUGAAAAAUUGUUGUUUGUCCUGUUAAAUUUUAUGGCAUCAACUCGGUAUAGUGAUUAUUGACCUAGUAUUUGUUUAGUGUAGACAACUAACUUCUUUUUUCUUAAAUUUUUAGCGAUAUGUGUGUUCUGCUAUGUCUUAUGUUGAUAGUAUGUUCUUUUUUUUUGGUACUAGAAUAAUGCUUUUCUUGAUUUGCCUAGACUUUAUGACAAUUAAUUUAUAGUGCGAUCAUUGAUCAUUGAGCUUCUGACAUCCUAUUGCAUACAAUUCUGUUGUAAUGUUUGUUGGAUCAUUGAGUAGUUCAUAUUGAUUCUGAGUUUGUUGGAUCAUUGAACUUCUGCGUGCGCUUUUGUUAUCUGAGAGAAAUUCACGAUCCUGCGUUUCGUUUUUACGGCGGAGCGAGGAACGAUUACGUUUCAUGUUCAUGCGUUUUUGUGUUCGCGGUUUUGAAUUUGGAUUACGGAGACGGGGAGAGGCCAAACCUCACUUUGCAAGGUCAGUUUCAGAUUAGUUCCGUCGCUGCAUUGUUCGUCGGCGAUUUCCAGACCUCAAACGCAUGCACCCUUAUGAUACUCUGGUUUGGCUCGUUGGUCGUUACGGUUGUUCUUAUGUUCUUGAAUAACCCCAUCUUAUACGCAGAGAUGGGGUGAUUCGUUAUGGUUCUUCUGAUGGUUGCGUAUGUUCUUUUGAAUUGGGUUCUUCUUGUAAUGCUUUGCUUAUGUUCCCAAUGUCUGUCUUUCCAUAUAGGCCGUGGUGUGUUUUAUACUGUACAAUCUAUGGUGUGUUUUACACUAUCUGAUGCGGAAUGUAGAAAUAUUGAUAUCACUUUUGUGCUAUUAUACUAGAUAUGGUGUGUUUUAUCCAAGUUAUUAACCACAUCUCUUACAAAUUUUCCUUGAGAUGGUAUAUGCCAGGAGUGAUUGAUGUCUCGAUGAAUAUAAUCAUUUAUACUAACUUGGUAUUGGUAGUUCCUGAGGUAACACACCAGUACUUGUUUAGUGCAGACAACUAACUAUUCUUUUUUCUGAACUUUUUUGUGAUAUGUGUGUUAUGUGGAUAUCAUAUUCUAAUGCUUUUCUAAGUAUUUAAGGUGCAGACUUGUGGAUUUGGACAUGUCACAUUUGCUCUUUAUUGUGUUGCUAAGGACACUGAAAGGUUUGGCUGAGCUACUGCACGUCCUGGCUAAUCAGGAAGUGUUGCUAUGGAUCAAAUCUGUAAUGGAAGAGACUGGAAGUAACAUUACAACCGACCAACUUAAAGAAUAUGUAUGGAAGACACUGAAGAGUGGAAAGAAAAAUGUACAAAGAAUGCCUACAUCAUGCUUAUCAUCUUGUGGAAGAAAUCAUCCAGUUGUAGUGAUUAGAGAAGCUUGCAGAACUGUAUGAAUCUGAACAACAAUGGUUAAGAGCAGCACAAAUGCUUAGUGGCAUCUGACUUGGACUCGGGAAUCAGGAUGCUUGAGGACACAAACAAAUUAUCCAAGUGCGUCCAGAUUGCACGACUCUAUUUGGAGGAUGAUGAUGGAGUGAAUGCUGAAGCUUUUAUCAACAAAGCCUCAUUUUUUGUCACAAACAGCAACCAGGAAGUUCUGAACUUUACAAUACAAGGUCUGCUAUGCGAGAAUUUUAGAUCUAAAGCGUAAAUUCUUGGAAGCUGCACUUCGAUACUAUGGUAUCUGUCAAAUUGAGCAACGCCAAAUUGGGGAAAUCUUGAUAGAACAUGUUUCUUGGUGCUGCUGUAACAUGCACAAUAUUGGCUGGUGCUGGCCCACAAUGCUCUUGUGUUCUUGCUACAUUGUACAAGGUUGUUCCUGGCUAUGGUCAUGGAGUUCUACGUAAUACAGACCCAAGAUACUCAUGUCAAAGGGAGUUCAUAUUGAAAUAUUUACCCGGGGAUCCACUUUUCCAACUGGAACGAAGAUCUGAAUCACCCUCACCCCUCUAGAGAAAUCAGUUUAGUCAUUCAAGUUCUAGAAUUUCUUUAUAAUUUUCUGGGUUUACUUCGGUCUUGCAUGCAUUAGCUUUCUAUUUGUGCCCCUAUCUAUGCAUGUUUCUUGUGUGCAAGCGCUCCAUUUUGUUUGUGUGACUCUGUGUGGCUUGAUUAUGUGUGUGGCUUGAGUCUGUAUGUGUUGAUUAUGUGUGUGGCUUGAUUGUGUGUGUGGCUUGACUGUGUGUGUGGGCUUGACUGUGUGUGUGAGAUCGUGUGUGGCUUGAUGGUGAAUAUGUGUGUGGCUUGACUGUGUGUGUGACUCUGUGUGGCUUGAUUAUGUGUGUGGCUUGACUCUGUAUGUGUGGCUUGAUUAUGUGUGUGGCUUGAUUGUGUGUGUGGCUUCACUGUGUGUGUGGGCUUGACUAUGUGUGUGAGAUUGUGUGUGGCUUGAUGGUGAAUAUGUGUGUGGCUUGACUGUGUGUGUGUGUGUGUGACUGUGUGUGAAUAUUGCAUUUAUUUGAUGGUGUGGCUUGUAUAACUUGUGUUCUAUAUGUCACGAUUGAUUGUUGCUUGUUGAAUGUGAACAGACCUAAAACUAUUCUUUUUUCUAUACUUUUUUAUGAUUAUGUCUUAUGUGGAUAUCAUACUCUUUUUUGUAUUACUUCUGUCCAGUCACUGGAAUAACGCUUUUCUAAGUAUUUAAGGUACAGACAUGUGGAUCUGGACAUGUCACAUUAGCUCUUUAUUGUGUUGCUAAGGACACUGAUGGUUUGGGUUUGCAUACAAUGCAGUACCAACAAAACGGUCUCAUUGCAAGGUGGACGUAUAGGCAAGCAAUGUCAAGAGAGAGAGAAGCUUGGACUAUUGAGGAGGAACAUGCACUGAUUAAUGCCCAUUGGGUAUAUGGGAAUAAAUGGGCAGAAAUAGCACAAGUUCUUCCUAGAAGGUUCUUCUCACCUACAGCUAAAGUCAAAGACGACAAACCAAGUGAAUUAUUGGAGUUGCAAGAUACACAUAAUCAUUGGUCAUCUAAAUCUUCUUUUCUAAUAUGACUGUUGGUGCUGCUCAUGACGCUAGCCAUCGGCUUGGAAGCGAUGAGAGGCAACCACUGUUGUCAACUUGAAACGUAUAAUUUUUUAGGAACGAAGAUCUGAGUCACCCUCACCCCUCGAGAGAAAUCAGUUUAGUCAUUCAGGUUCUGAAAUUUCUUUAUAGAUUUCUGAGUUUACGUUGGUCUUGCAUGUAUUUACUUCGGUCUAUUUCUUUUUGUUUCUUGUGUGCAAGUGCUCCAUUCUGUGUGUGUCUGACUGUGUGUGGCUUGACUCUCUUGUGUGCGUGUGGCUUGACUGUCUGUGUGCGUGU